rnacentral:rRNA from 1 species
GAUGAACGCUGGCGGCGUGCCUAAUACAUGCGAGUCGAGCGAACAGACGAGGAGCUUGCUCCUCUGACGUUAGCGGCGGACGGGUGAGUAACACGUGGAUAACCUACCUAUAAGACUGGGAUAACUUCGGGAAACCGGAGCUAAUACCGGAUAAUAUAUUGAACCGCAUGGUUCAAUAGUGAAAGACGGUUUUGCUGUCACUUAUAGAUGGAUCCGCGCCGCAUUAGCUAGUUGGUAAGGUAACGGCUUACCAAGGCGACGAUGCGUAGCCGACCUGAGAGGGUGAUCGGCCACACUGGAACUGAGACACGGUCCAGACUCCUACGGGAGGCAGCAGUAGGGAAUCUUCCGCAAUGGGCGAAAGCUUGACGGAGCAACGCCGCGUGAGUGAUGAAGGUCUUCGGAUCGUAAAACUCUGUUAUUAGGGAAGAACAAAUGUGUAAGUAACUAUGCACGUCUUGACGGUACCUAAUCAGAAAGCCACGGCUAACUACGUG